rnacentral:rRNA from 1 species
UGAACGCUGGCGGCGUGCCUAAUACAUGCACGUCGAGCGAACGGACGCGAAGCUUGCUUCUCUGAUGUUAGCGGCGGACGGGUGAGUAACACGUGGAUAACCUACCUAUAAGACUGGGAUAACUUCGGGAAACCGGAGCUAAUACCGGAUAAUAUUUUGAACCGCAUGGUUCAAAAGUGAAAGACGGUCUUGCUGUCACUUAUAGAUGGAUCCGCGCUGCAUUAGCUAGUUGGUAAGGUAACGGCUUACCAAGGCAACGAUGCAUAGCCGACCUGAGAGGGUGAUCGGCCACACUGGAACUGAGACACGGUCCAGACUCCUACGGGAGGCAGCAGUAGGGAAUCUUCCGCAAUGGGCGAAAGCCUGACGGAGCAACGCCGCGUGAGUGAUGAAGGUCUUCGGAUCGUAAAACUCUGUUAUUAGGGAAGAACAUAUGUGUAAGUAACUGUGCACAUCUUGACGGUACCUAAUCAGAAAGCCACGGCUAACUACGUG